rnacentral:rRNA from 1 species
UAGGGAAUCUUCCGCAAUGGACGCAAGUCUGACGGAGCAACGCCGCGUGAGUGAAGAAGGUUUUCGGAUCGUAAAACUCUGUUGUUAGAGAAGAACAAGUGCUAGAGUAACUGUUAGCGCCUUGACGGUAUCUAACCAGAAAGCCACGGCUAACUACGUGCCAGCAGCCGCGGUAAUACGUAGGUGGCAAGCGUUGUCCGGAUUUAUUGGGCGUAAAGCGAGCGCAGGCGGUUCCUUAAGUCUGAUGUGAAAGCCCCCGGCUCAACCGGGGAGGGUCAUUGGAAACUGGGGAACUUGAGUGCAGAAGAGGAGAGUGGAAUUCCAUGUGUAGCGGUGAAAUGCGUAGAUAUAUGGAGGAACACCAGUGGCGAAGGCGACUCUCUGGUCUGUAACUGACGCUGAGGCUCGAAAGCGUGGGUAGCAAACAGGAUUAGAUACCCUGGUAGUCCACGCCGUAAACGAUGAGUGCUAAGUGUUGGAGGGUUUCCGCCCUUCAGUGCUGCAGUUAACGCAUUAAGCACUCCGCCUGGGGGGUACGACCGCAAGGUUG